UACGUAGGGGGCGAGCGUUGUCCGGAUUUAUUGGGCGUAAAGAGCUCGUAGGCGGCUUGUCGCGUCGAAUGUGAAAUCUCAGAGCUCAACUCUGACAUUGCAUUCGAUACGGGCAGGCUAGAGUUCGGUAGGGGAGACUGGAAUUCCUGGUGUAGCGGUGAAAUGCGCAGAUAUCAGGAGGAACACCGAUGGCGAAGGCAGGUCUCUGGGCCGAUACUGACGCUGAGGAGCGAAAGCGUGGGGAGCGAACAGG
rnacentral:rRNA from 1 species